GGCCUUCUGGAAUAGGAGUCAGUAGAGCAUGAGACUCUUAAUCACAGGGCUGUGGGUUCAAGUCCCGCAAUGGUCA